GCAAACUUGGUCAUUUAGAGGAAGUAAAAGUCGUAACAAGGUCAUCGUAGGUGAACCUGCGGUGGGAUCAUUAUCUGAACCUUUUAAACAUUGUGAGAAAUACUUGGGAAUUGGGUGAGCGGUCAGCGCUUGAGUGGUGUGCUAUGAUUGUGCGGUCAGUACUUGAGUAGUGCGCUAUGAUUGCGCUGAGCGCCGCUCGCUGCAGCGUGGUCGUUGUUUACCUUCGGCCGCCUGCUCUUAUAAACUAUGUUGGUUUGAAUAUUAAAGAUAGACUGUACGAAUUAUCUGCUCGAAAGAGCUAUUAACUUAUACAACUAUCAAUGGUGGAUCACUUGGCUCUUGCAUCGAUGAAGAACGCAGC
rnacentral:misc_RNA from 1 species